AGAGGGGUGCGGGAGGUGUGGACUGCACCAGGAGACAUCCAUGGGGAGCAUGACACCACUGAUCCCCAAAGGUUUUCCUUUUGGCAGAAAUGGCCUGUGACAUUUGCCUGCAUCCCUUUAAAACACUGGAGAUGAUUCAAAUGCCCAUCUGCCUGCAUAGGAGUUUCUAACUGAAGUGAAAGUGCAGAGCUGGAAUAUGAACACAGAAAAAAAGAAUGAAGAGUAUACAUACGAAUGGCCAGUGGCAGGGAUGAAGUAUAUACAGCAGUGGACUCUGCUAUCUGGUAUCCGCUUCUUCCGGUUAAUAUUGA